AUACUUGAGAUUCAGUAAAUAAGAUUAGCACCCAAAGCAGCUAUUAAAAGUUGAAAUCCAUGAUAGGAAAGUGCAUUGAGAUAUCAGUGCUAAGUGAUACAUUUCUUUUUAACAAGUGGACUAAAGCAAGACCUAUUCCUGAGCCGAGGGUCUAUUGGAAACAACCACUCUAUCUUCAUAUGUUAUUGUUACUAAAGCAAGAUCUACCACCAGCCCCUGCUGCCCUUACCCAUUUCGUCUCCCAUCGUGUUUGCCUAAAUGUAGUAUAUUUCUACAAAAAGAGUUUUCUGCUACCUAACCAAACGCUAGAAAGGGGAAAACCCUGAAAUCACCACCAAAAAAAAGGAGACAAGGAAUGGAAUCAUUUGGAAGAUAAUAAAUAAGAGGAAGAAAAUGAAUCUGACCUGAUCAUCAAAGAACCUCUCAGAAUGAGAAGAAAUGGAUCCAACAGAAGAGCUUUCUGUUUCACCACUGCCACUCGGACUCUUCUCCGAUGCCUUCCUCCGCCACAACCAACUCCGCCGGUCCAUCCAAAGGAAAAUUAACUCCUCAUUCCUCUUUAACUAAUAAUAUUCCUGUAAAUUCAUAUCCCAAACAAACUACAAAUUAAUCACCAAUAAUACUCAAGAACCAUAAAACCAAUUAUUCCCAAAUCCAUGAUUCUCACUCUAACAUUUAUGGAAAGAAGAUGGGGGAUUUUUUUAAUCUUAACUUUGAUUAGAAUUCACACCUCAAUUACCUAACACUAUGAAGUUGGAGUCAUUUCAAAACCCCCAAAAGAAGUAAAAUUUGAGAUAAGCUUCCUAUUUUGGACCCCAUGAAUGUAAUCGUUUCAACAACUCAUGUGCCUUUCCAUUCCCUAUAAGUAAUAAUUAGUGUGAAAGCCAAAGCAAAAAAUCAAAGCGCAAUUUUGGGGAUAACCCCCAAAUCACAACAAAAACUGAAAGAGAUUGUGACCCACCAGAAAAAGCUACCUUAACAGACACACCAGCGCCCCC
rnacentral:lncRNA from 1 species